AUGGCCAGCGGCAGGGACUCGGACAGUGAGCCGGCGGUGCCGGAGGAGGAGGAGGAGGACGAGGGCCCAGACGUGAAGGCCGUGCAGGCCCAUUACCUGCGCAGCCCCUCGCCCAGCCGGUAUUCCAUGAUAUCAGACACUGAUACAGAGAGCAUCUUCAUGGAGCCAAUCCAUCUGUCAUCUGCUGUGGCUGCCAAGCAAAUAAUCAGUGAAGAACUGAAGACAAAGGAGGUCAGGGUAGAUUCAGUGUGUCCCAGGAUGUUGGAGUCUGCGCAGCAGCUGAUGGUGGAAGACCUGUACAACCGAGUUAAGGAAAAGAUUGAUGACACCAGCUUGUUUAACACGCCGUGUGUGAUGGACUUGCAGAGGGCACUCGUGAAGGACAGGCUGGAGACCCCCAGGGAUGCUGUGGAUGAAGUCUGGCCUAAUGUCUUCAUAGCAGAAAAAAGCGUCGCAGUGAACAAAAGCCGUUUGAAGAGACUGGGCAUCACACACGUCUUGAAUGCAGCUCAUGGUACAGGGGUCUACACAGGACCAAGCUUCUACAACGGUCUCAAUAUCCAGUACCUGGGCAUUGAGGUGGAUGAUUUCCCAGAUAUGGAUAUCUCCAAACACUUCCGCCCGGCUGCGGAGUUCCUUGACGAAGCACUGCUGACUUACAGGGGCAGAGUCCUGGUCAGCAGUGAGAUGGGCAUCAGUCGCUCCGCCGUGCUGGUGGCUGCCUACCUGAUGAUCUACCACCACAUGACCGUUCUGGAGGCUCUGAUGACUCUGAGGAAGAAACGAGCCAUUUACCCCAACGACGGCUUCCUGAAACAGCUGCGGGAGCUCAACGAGCAGCUGCUGGAGGAGCGGGAGCUGGAGAACUCUGGAGACGAAGAAGUGACUCCUAGUCAAAGUCCUGUGGCCCGUGCAGGGACUUCUUCCCGUUUGUCUGGAGCUGGGGACGCAGAGAGCGUCGUGGGAGCCCGAGCCCACUCCAUCACAGUGGAAGAGGAGGACACAAGCAGCAUGCUGGGUAGUUUUAUGAGCUCUUCGUCAGUGUCAAAAACCAGCUGGGUUUCCAAACGCUCCACCCUGAUCAGCGAGGAGGAAGAGGAACAGCUGUAUGAGGAAUGGAGGAAGAAACAAGGCCUGUCUGCAAAGGAACCAGGAGUUAACCAUGAAAGAAGAGCAUCUCCAAAGCAUCUGGGUCGGGAAGAGGAACAGUCUGAUGAGGAUGUGGAACAGAGGAUCCAUGACUGGCAGCGCAGAAAUGAGAAAUACCAAAUGGAGGGUGCAGCCAGGGAGGAGGAUGGUGAUUCCAGCAUGGGAGGAAGACCUUACCCACCAGGUGAAUUCAGUGAUGUUGAGAGUGUGAGCAGUUUUGAGAUCCGAACCCUGAAAAAGCAGCUGGAAGCCAGUAGCUUUAGCAGGAUGAGGAGGAGUCGCACAGACUCUGUGUCUUCUGAGAGCACCUGGGACAUGUGGAAUCAGAGACUUCUGGAGAUAGAGAAGGAAGCUGCUCAGAGAUACCAUUCCAAGAAUAAAAAUUGUGGGGAAAUGGGAAGAAAGGAGAGGGAUGUGGAUGAGGAGAGCAUGCUUUCAGACAGUAGCUCCUUCUACAAUUUCUGCCAAAAGAACAAAGACAAGUUGACUCCUCUAGAAAGGUGGAAGGUCAAGAGGAUCCAGUUUGGCUUUCACAAGAAGGAUUUAGAACCAUCAUCAUCAGCUGCACCAUCUCCAGCAGAAGAUGGCAACCAGGCAGGUGAGGAGGGAGCAGAAGGGAAGAAUUUGUCAGAUAUUGACCUGACUGCUUACCAGGCUUGGAAAAUGAAGCGGCAGAAGAAGGUGGGCAGUGAAAGCAGCAAGGAGGAAUUUGUGGAAUUUGCCAAAACCGAGGAUUCUGCUUCAGCUAAAAAGAGGCAGAGGCGUGUAGAGCUCCUCGAACGUUCAAAGAAAAUUUUAGAGGAAAGCCAAUCCAUGUGCAGCUGGGAGACAGACAGCACGAUGAGUGGGAGUAUCCCCCUGUCGGCUUUCUGGCCCUCGGCGCCUUCUGCAGAUGGUGCCGAGGAUGCAGCUUCUGCCCUGAGCAUGCAGACAAAUCAUUCAUCUCUGUCACGGACCAGGAGCAGCAUGGGAGCAACGCAGCCUCAGAUGCCGAGCGUACCCCUUCCCAACCUCCCGGUUGGUCCAGGUGACACCAUAUCCAUGGCAAGCAUCCAGAACUGGAUCGCUAACGUGGUCAGCGAAACCAUCGCUCAGAAGCAAAACGAGAUCCUGAUGCUGUCCCGUCCGUCGUCCGCGAUGGCCUCCCUGUCAGGAGACCUGGGCAGGCGAGGAGAUGAUGACAGGGUUUCUCUGCUCAGUGCUCAGAGCGGCUCAUCUGUGGCUGCCUCUCAGCUGCGCCAGCAGGAGCUGCGCCGGGCCGAGUCUCAGUCUGUCCUGUCCUGCAACACCUCCGUGAGCGCAAGGACAGAAGGGACUGCUUCAAACAUGAAGACAACACAAACGAGCAAGCCACUGUACAGCCUCUUUGCUGAUGAUGUUGACCUCAAGAAACUCAGGAGGAAGGAGAAGGAGAUGCAAAUGGAAAUGAGAGAAAAAAUGUCAGAUUAUCAAAUUGAAAAGGUGAUCAGAGACAAUAAACGCAGCACUUUAUUUAAGAAAAAGGUGACCAAAGGAGAGGAAAAUGAAAGGGAAAAUGGCACAGAGAGUACAACAAACAGCCAUGGGCGUCCCUUGCAAGCAGAUUUUGACAGAACUGGUACAGUCUUCGAUCUGUCCGGUCAGCCUGCAAACUCAGGUGUACCAGAGUCAGAAAUAGAGACUGAUAUUAGCAAGUGGCUCAAUGGCCUGAAAGCAGAGAGAGAACCACCAUCUUAUUAUGAACAAACUGAGAAAGCUAGAGAGAAAUAUAGCAGAUCAUCCAAAGUUAGACAGAUGGAUUCUGAGACAUCCAGUUACAGAUUCUGUAGGUCCCAAAGAGAAGAGGUAGACAGCUGUUCUUCCUACGAGUCGAAAGGAGAUUCACUGAGAACCACGUCAAGAUUUUCCUCUGCUUCUGCGAAAGAGGACAAAAAGAUGUACAAGUUCACAAGGUCGAGGGUCAGUGAGACAAGUUCCAGAGAAAACAGCCCAGAGCUGCAUGUUUUCAGCCGAUCUCCUGAGCCGCCCUUUGGCUCUGAAUCCCCUGAAGCGUCUACACAGAGCCGAGUCAGAUCCCAUCAUGUGGAGGCGUGUGAAGAGGAGGCCAGGUCAGACGUGUCAGAAUUUGGGGCAAAGAGAAAGUUCACCCAGAGCUUUUCGAAGUCCGAAGAGGAUGGAAAGAAGGAGGCAAAAGUGGAGCAAAGUGAAGAAAGGUUUGCAUCUAGGCAGCGCUCUCAGUACAGGCGAAGCACACGUAAAGAGGAGGAAGAAGAGAUGGAUGAUGAUGCCAUUAUUGCUGCUUGGAGAAGCCGACUGGAAGAAACCACAGCAAAGCUCCAGCGGAGAAGGGAAGAGUGACCAAGAUCAGACUACAGGAGCACAAGCAGAGCCAGAGUCCCUGAAUCACUCACUCAUCAUUAUAUUUUUGAUAAUCCUUUGUGGUUUGUAGGGCAUUUCCUGCAGAUAGUUCUCUUCUUAAUCAAAAGCGAUGAAGGGAAGAGGUCAAGUUCUGCAAGUGUUUGUGGCUUGUCAGAAAGAAGAUGCUAGAAUUAAAUGAUCAAUGUAGGUAGGAACACAAUGUUAGAAGCCAUUAGGAGCCAGACAAUGUUUCAGCAGCAAAAGCAAGUAACGGUGGCACCUCAAGUCAAAAGACCAAUCACAUCCCGUUUUGGUUAUUUCAAUUUCCUAGUGUUGUUAAAAACUGGACAUAUUUUUUUCUCGGAUCUUUUUGAUCAUAAGUGGAAGAAGCCAACAGCCUUUUCUAGGAACUUGAAGAAUGUUUCUCUCUUAAUCAGCUUUACUUUAUACCACUGAGAAGAUAUUACCAGUGCACCGUUCAUGCCAACAUGCCUGAAUGCUUUAUGGUCAUUAAAUUAAAUCAAAGAACACACCACAGAAUGGACAAGGCCAGAUCAAUAAAUCUUAAAACUGAUUCAAACUUACCAAGGACUCUGCACAAGUAACCAUGAAAGGAAGGAUGACUCCAGUCAGAAGGGCAUUUGUGUGGGCAUAAAACUGAACCAAGACAUAGGUGAUACUAAUUAGAAGACAGAAACAUUUAAAGGAGCUGGUCAUUUUUAUAGCAUCACCCAACUACCAACAGCAUCGACCUGCAGCCCAAUGUCUUAAGGGUAUUUUUGGACUUCUGAGUGAUGCACGAAAAUAACCAUAGUGGCAAGAACUUUUUGCAGCUGGCUGGAAAGCUGUACAGCUCCAGGUCACGUCCUGCCACGAACAUGCCUAAUUUUAGAGAUUUGCCUAUUUGUGACUUCCCCAUUUGAUUAUUGCAGGGCACCAUAUUAAAGAAGGAUGCAGUGCCCACCAGCUGGCAUGAACCAUUGUGUGGCUGUUCCGUCCUCACGGACCAUCCCAGCAAUUUGAUCUUUGCAAUGACUCCAUACUGAACUUGGAUCCAGUUGAAAGCCAUCCAUUAGUUUGGCAGAACAUUUCUCCCUCCUUGCUGGAGAGGAGAGCUUUAUGAAACUGCAAUAGCCUUUAUGAAACUGCCAAUUAAUGGGGAGCUUUGUGCAUUUGGCUCACAGAAAUAUCCCAGCAGCUGUCAUAACCUAUGAAGGUUCAUUCCCAAAGCGCAUAAAAUGACCACAGGCCUAACUACAGUCAAAACUAAAUGCAAACCCCAGUUCUUCAACUUAAACUUCCCUCCCUCAAUAAUUUUGCGAGGCAUGUGCUCCUUAGUCUGUGAAUUGCAUCAAAAGUAUUGCCUAGAGGCAGAGGGUCAGAGGAGAUUCCACAUAUGAAAAACAGGAGGCCCUCAAAAGGGUGCAACCUCAGUUGCUGAACAGACACCACAAAUAGGAUGGAUAAAAGCCCACAUGAGACUGGUAUAUGAGCAAGCAGAAGCUGACAGUUGCCCCUCAGGAAUACAGUAUAAAGCUUUCAGUUCUGCAGGAGACGUGAUCUGAAAGUUUGCUUCCUGGGAGCAAUCACACCUGAACUGUUGCGUGGUGCUGCGGUUGCAUAAUUUAAUAGUUGUCAUGUUUCAUCCCAAGGUGAGUGUUGGUGGUGGUAGUAUACAUAAAAAAUUUGUACGUCAUUAGGGAUAAAAGGGUCUAUGCAAGAAGAGGUCAGACAUUAUCCUCAUGACCAGCAGAGGAGGUCCAUAUUAAAACAAAGGAGGUGUUUGAUUUUCUUUUGAACGUGGGCAGAUGAUUCAGACCCAUGUGCCCUUCAUGUGCUCUGUCUCUCCCCUUCCCAUCUCCUUCCUUUUGAAACAGAUUUAAGUCCAUCUACUUUUAUAUUUUCAAACAAAACCCAUAAAAGGGCCAUAAAUAUCAUGACUCGCUAAAAUGAAAGCUGUUUUCUUCUUCUCCCAGGAGACUCCUGCCUGAGAGAGAGACAGAAAGAGUUCACCCCUUUGAAAAUUUCCUCCUCUGUCGAAGUAAAGCUCAUAUCUAAAAGCAGCCUUCAAGGCUUUGUUCUUAUCAUCUUGACCUGGCUUUGUACUGGCUUCUCUCUGUAUUGCUUGUGGAAGUGUGAAGGACGGGGCUAGGGGAAGGAGUUUUGGCUAUCACUGGCAGAGCAAGGGUCAUGCUUGGAAAGGGAUUUCAUUGUGGUUUCAGAAAAUGUUAUAAACUCAGCACACUGGCAAAAAGAAUGAAGAAACUCAUUCCCCUCCUGGAUCAGACCAGUGAUCCACCCCUUCUGUCUCUGAUGUUGGCCAGAACCAGAUGCAUCUCAGAAGGUAUAAAGGAAGUUUAAGUGGGUAAUUAUGGAAUAACCUGCCCCGAGUAAAAUUUUCUCCCCUUCUGGCCCAAAGCCCUCCUUCAUCUCUCUCCUUGGUUAGAGUUCAACUCUAUGCCCUGAAGCAUGACGGCUUCUCUCCCUUCCAAACCGCUUUUCAUCCUGGCCUGUCUCAUGUAACUGCCUGUGACAGUGAUGGGAUGUAUAGGUCUUGUCCAUUGAGAGUCUGUGACAGAUCACAGCCUUAUUGGAAAGAGAGGCAGAGAGGCCGAAGAGAAGGUGAGGGAGGAGAGCAUAAACUCAGAUGAAAUAUCCAUCAGGAAGAUGGAAAGAAGAGUGAAUGCCUGGGAAACUAAUUGCUGCCUGCUGAUCUGGGCUGUGGAGAUAGCUUGCAAGUGAGCAUUUUUGCUUUUCAGAGAUUUCAGCCUGGAGCACACUAGGAAAGUCAACUCUUUGGGUUGAAAAUACUGUUCAUCAAUACUUCCCCUUAUAUUUUUUUUUUAAAGCUGUAGAAGUAUAAGAGUAGUCCUGAGAAAACUAUUCUAUUAUAUACUGACGGAGCUUUUUCUUCCACUGAAGUUCACUACUCAUUUCUGAACAGGUAUUGGUGUAAUUUGGGCCUACUAGACAUUGAACACCGAUGAAAAUCAGGCUGUUUUUCUGCUGCCCAAAAAGGGUUUAGGAACCCAAAGUCCGAUAUUCCUGUCUAGGUCCCUGUCCAGGUCUUACAGAGAUAGCUGCUCAUACUCCUGAGUUGAGCACAGAGCAUAUCCAAAAGUGUUUGUGGAGCUUUUGUGGGUUGGUUUGGUCAUUGCACAGGCCAUCAGCAUUUGUGGGGCACAGUGCCAGAUGCCCCAAGGUGAGGGUUAGAAUUAUCCGACACACUGAGACUUUUUAGACAUUGUCAGCAUUUUCUCUGGUGCCUUUACCACUGAAAGCAUUAACAAAGUUCCAGGGAAUGGUUAGUGUACUUUGUAGAUGGAUGCUUCCAGUAAUACACAGGUUGAACAGCAGGUUUUAUUUAUCCAGGAGCUCAACAAUUCCUAGGGAGAGGGAAAGAAGAGCUAGGUGUUUGAUCAUAUCCAGGCCUCAAUGAUCAUUAAUUUCACUCCCACAGUAUCCACAGUUUCCCAUAUUCCUUUCCCUCAAAAGUGUGGCAAAGUGAUCUGGAGUUUUCCAAGUGAUGGGUGUUGAAAUCUCACCCCAUCUCCUGGAUACCACACUGAGGUGUUCAGAGCAUCCUGCUGGUGUUGGCUGAGCACAGGAGACUGUUCAUUAAGAAAAAUGACUGUAUCAUUUAUACUGAGAACAGCUGCAGUGAGCAGCUCAGUGCCAGUGUUCAAGGCUCUGUAAUCUCCUGUUAGUUGCCACUUGCCAUUAGAUUUUUUUACUGGCCAUAAAGGAGAAUUGUAGGGGAAAUGAGACGUGACAAUGAUUCGCUGUUCUUCCAGCUCCUUUAUCAAUUCAGUAACAGGACAAAUUGCUCCAGAAGGUAAUGGGUAUUGUGGAAUAUUAACUAUCUUGCUAUGGGGUAAAGGAGCAGCUGUUUGCAACAGAUUAGCAGUCAGAGAUGCAUUUGUAGGAUGUAAACUCUGGGGCAGAAAGGGUGAUGUCCCUAUUUCCCAUGUUCCCCACGACUGACCCUUCAAUACAUCCAUACCCAAUAUAUUAAGGGCACUUAAAAGUAAGGUCAGGUGGAUUGUCUGUCCCUCAGACAGAAUUAGUUUAGCCCUGACCAGUGGGUGGUUAGUGGAUUUCCCAUUAACUCCUGCAAUAGAGACUAACUGCUUGCUGCCCUUUGUAAGUGUCCUUACCUCCCAUCGAUAUCCGGGCUCCCGUGUCAAUGAGGAAUGUUCUAAAGCAGGAAUGGAUCAUUAACUGUGACCAGGAUCCUCAGCAGUGGGAGUAGCACCCACCCUGGUUUCCUGCACAUCCGCAGUCUAGGUUUAGUGAUGAUAGUUUGGGUAUAUCCCUGAGCUCGCAGCCCUUGCAUGCUCUGCCUCUCUAGUUAUUAUCCUUUCAAACCAUACGGUGUCAUCCCAUCUCCAAAUACAGGUCCCAGAGGGUUAUCAUGAGAAGUAAAUGAGGAAAACCUGUCCAGCUGCCACAACAGGGAAGUUGGCAGCUCAGAGACAGCUGCUUCUCUAAACACAUUUUCCAUUGUCUUUUACGCUCAGUACUAACUGAUGGUGUUCCUCAACUUACCCUUUUGCUCUUCUGCAUUUACUUUAGCUGAGGUUAUCCCUUGGUUUUUAUCCUCUGGGAUUUACAGUGGUAAAUCUGCUAGCCCACACUGAAGGACCUCUUGGAAACUAAUACCAUUUAAGCCUGUCUUAAUGGCUAACACUAAAGACUUCUACACCACCUCAGCUCCCAUUAUCAUGGGUCAGAAGUGUACAGGCUCCCAAAUCAACUCCCAGGGAUGCAGUUCUGCUGGAAAGGGUUGUCCAGCCCCUGGAGCAAGGUGUGCUGCUCCUUCUAAUUCAGCUGAAAUCACAGGUUGCAGCAGGGCACUCUGCAGACUGGCUGCCAAGCCCUGGGAACACACAUUUUUCCUGCCAUGGGCAGUGCACAAAGUGCAAGUCCAUGAGGGACUGGUAAUAUUUGACCCUGUGGUAUCCAACAUUAUUCCUGGGCCUAAUGCCAAUGAUCAAGCCUCAGCUGGGGCAAGGUGAAGCUCAUUGGCUCUGGCUAUCCAAAUCCAUGGUAGCCCAUUCACAGGUGUUUUCCCUGGUUUAGCUCGAUAUCUCUCCCCCAGACCUCUGAACUUGAGGGCAGUAAACCCUGCCAUGGUUCCUGUGGAGGGAGGUGACUUUUGUGCCCCUGUGGGAGUGCUGUGUUCAGUUUUGGUUAGUGCUGCUGAGAGCAGGGGGCAGGGAAUCAUCAUCACCUGGCUUUGAGGGGAGGGGUGCAGGUCUGCUUGUUUCCAGAUAUCCCCCUCCCAGUCAGCAUCGCACUUGGCACAAUAGUCUUUAACUGGGUCUCCUGCAGUAGCUUCCAACAGCCUCCUCCUGCACUCCUCAGCUUCAGCAAUUGUCUGGGGCUGAAGCUGGACUCAGGUGGUCUGUUUUGCAUUUCUAACUGCUUACACUUCUGAAGUAUUCUUUCCAUUUUCCUUUUCUUGUUUUCCCUUUUCAGUUGUACAUUUUCCCCUUUCAACUCAUCAGUCACAUCCACUGCUGCCCUCUGACAACUGCCUAGUAGUCAGCACGUUGCACUUUCCCCUUCUCCCUUCUUUACCUUACAAGAAAACUGCCAUCUGGCAAACUCCUACCCAAUACCAUCAGCAUCCGUGCAGUGGCUCUUGACCGCAGGACAAAUCCUGCUUGGGAUUUUGCCACUCCUCUUUCUCAAAGUCUUCUCCCAGUUGUUGCCACUCAGUGUCUGGUUUUUCGUGGCACAGACAAACAGACCCACAGAGACAGUGUCUUUACUCACACCAAACCAGCUGCUUUGGUGCUUGCCAGCAGAGCAUGUCCAGGGGAGAUCCCACUUGUGACACCAAUAAAAUGUCUGUUUGGAUGUCUCAGUUUUCCAGGGAACCACCAGACAAAAGGUGAGAGCUGCAGGAGGCAGCGCUUUGCAGGUGACCAUGGCUGCAUAAAGGCCCUUUAGCUCUUCCUGGCCACCUCUCCUGCCUACCUGGUACUCUGGCUUUGACCUGAUGACACUGCUCCCAGCACACAUCAGGCCUCAGCAUGGGCUGGGUUAGCCAAAACCUAAGCAGGAGUUGAGUGAACAGUCACAGAAAGGCCAGGGCCUCAGGCAAACAAAAAUAAAAAAAAUUAAUAAUAAUAAAAAAGGUGUUAGUAUUUAUCAGGGAAUGCAGUGAUAGAAGCUGGGGUAACCAUUUUAAAAUGAAAGAGGGUAGAUUUACUUCAGGUAUUAGGAAGGAAUUCUUUGCUGUGAGGGUGGUGAGGCCC